ensembl:lncRNA
GUCUCUGCUCACAGCGCCGUGCAGAGAUGACUCUGUGCUUUGUUAUGAUAGCUUUACGGCCUUGGCGGACUUCAUUCGACCAUACAUGGAUUAUUCAUCAGGGAUAAUGCCGUCCAAAGCUGCAGACAAAUUAGACAUCAGGGCCGGCAUCAACACUCCACCGCACUCAACCACAUCAAUGCAAUCGGAGGGAGGAGGAGGUGGGGGGUGGGGGAGGCUGCUGGACACAUGGAAAGAUGAAAGCUACUGCAAGAUCCCUGUGGAGCCGACACCAGCCGCUGCUGUACCCAUGUCUCCUUUCAUAUUCUCAGUGGGUCUUUGGACCUCACCCAGCACAGGAAGCUGAACUUCUCGUGCCCGCCUUUCAUGUGGUUCCAGGCAACAGGGGAAGAACAGGACACACACAAAAGGACAGACGGAUAGAAAGAGGGAGAUGGAGUGAGAAAGAAAAGGGAAAAGAGACGGAUAGUCCUACAGCGAAAACCGAUUCCAAGGAUAGGUUUCAUUGUCUGUGUUUGGUGGCUUGAAUUGUUGACCUCUGCAGCUGCAAACACUGUUACCUCUUGACUGUUUUGGUGCUGUUUUGGUGCUGUGCUGGCGACGGCUGUCACUUAAUCACUGCCCUCGAUGUUGGAUGUCAUGACCAGAUGUCUAAAAGCUUUGACUCUUUGCUAUGAGAUUAAAGAUAGCUGAAGCCACCCUGAGCUUUCGUUUUUUGAGAGAGCCAUUGACUAAUAAUGUUUCAAAUGUUUAUGUGAAAGGCAAAACAUUGAUUGCCAGAAUGAAAAUAAAUGGUUAAAAAAAGGCUAUUUACCCCUGCUCCACUCUAUUCCCUCGUACACGCUCUAAGCCACUCCAUCACAUCCC